UGGCCAUUACCAAGGCUUUUAGAAUGCAGUUUCUCAAUUGCUAAGGACAUGACCAUAAAAAAAAUUUCCACUAGGUUUUCUAUCUGCUACUCUGCUAGCACUCAGCCUAGUGGAGACAUUU
ensembl:snoRNA